rnacentral:rRNA from 1 species
AUACGGGAGGCAGCAGUGGGGAAUCUUGCGCAAUGGGCGAAAGCCUGACGCAGCAACGCCGCGUGGAGGAUGAAGGCCCUUGGGUUGUAAACUCCUGUCGGCUGGGAAGAAAUCGUACGGUGCUCAUACCACCGUGCGUUGACUGUACCAGCAAAGGAAGCCCCGGCUAACUCUGUGCCAGCAGCCGCGGUAAUACAGAGGGGGCCAGCGUUAUUCGGAAUUAUUGGGCGUAAAGGGCGCGUAGGCGGCCAUGCGUGUCUUCCGUGAAAUCCCUCGGCUUAACUGAGGACGUGCGGAAGAAACUGCAAGGCUCGAGUCCGGGAGAGGGGGGUGGAAUUCCCAGUGUAGCGGUGAAAUGCGUAGAUAUUGGGAGGAACACCGGUGGCGAAGGCGGCCCCCUGGACCGGUACUGACGCUGAGGCGCGAAAGCGUGGGUAGCAAACGGGAUUAGAUACCCCGGUAGC